GACGAACGCUGGCGGCGUGCUUAACACAUGCAAGUCGAACGGAAAGGCCUGCUUUCCCUUGUGGAUUGCGGGUACUCGAGUGGCGAACGGGUGGGUAACACGUGAGUGAUCUGCCCCCAACUUGGGUAUAAGCCUGGGAAACUGGGUCUAAUUCCCGAUAGGACUGCAGGGUGGUGCCUGUGGUGGAAAACGAUUUUCUAGUGGGUGGGGAUGAGCUCGCGGCCUAUCAGCUUGUUGGUGGGGUAAUGGCCUACCAAGGCGGCGACGGGUAGCCGGCCUGAGAGGGUGGACGGCCACAUUGGGACUGAGAUACGGCCCAGACUCCUACGGGAGGCAGCAGUGGGGAAUAUUGCACAAUGGGCGGAAGCCUGAUGCAGCGACGCCGCGUGGGGGAUGACGGCCUUCGGGUUGUAAACUCCUUUCGACCGCGAGGAAGCCACCUGGUUGGAAGGGUGGUGACGGUAGUGGUAGAAGAAGCACCGGCUAACUACGUG
rnacentral:rRNA from 1 species